rnacentral:tRNA from 1 species
UCCCUUGUGGCUCAGCUGGGAGAGAGUCCACCUGCAAUGUGGGAGACCUAGGUUCAAUUCCUGGGUUGGGAA